rnacentral:rRNA from 1 species
GACGAACGCUGGCGGCGUGCUUAACACAUGCAAGUCGAACGGAAAGGCCCCUUUGGGGGUACUCGAGUGGCGAACGGGUGAGUAACACGUGAGUAACCUGCCCUUGACUUCGGGAUAACUUCAGGAAACUGGGGCUAAUACCGGAUAGGAAUCCUUGCUGCAUGGUGGGGGUUGGAAAGCUUCGGCGGUUUUGGAUGGACUCGCGGCUUAUCAGCUUGUUGGUGGGGUAGUGGCUUACCAAGGCUUUGACGGGUAGCCGGCCUGAGAGGGCGACCGGCCACAUUGGGACUGAGAUACGGCCCAGACUCCUACGGGAGGCAGCAGUGGGGAAUACUGCACAAUGGGCGGAAGCCGGAUGCAGCAACGCCGCGUGCGGGAUGACGGCCUUCGGGUUGUAAACCGCUUUCAGCAGGGGCGAAGCUUGUGGUGACGGUACCUGCAGAAGAAGCACCGGCUAACUACGUG